GUGAGAACGUUGAACCGCAAGAAAUUGAAGAGGCAAUCAUGCAGAGCAAGCUUAUACAGAAUGUUAUGCUUGUGGGGCAAGACAAGCGGAGGUUAGGGGCGCUCAUAGUGGGCAACAAGGAGGAGCUAGAAGCUGCGGUAAAAGAAUAUAAGCUCGCUAAGGGUGAUUCUUCAAAGCCUAUCAAGAGUGACAGGACGAAUGUGAUUCGCCGAGAAAUCAAUCGGCUGUAAGUUUUUGCAUGGCCGUUAUCUUGAUGGCAGUUUUCAAUUUACAGAGUUUUUUUGGCAGGUAAGAGUUUCUUAUCUUCUAUAUGCUCUGAGUGCAUAAGAGGUGCUCCUCGCUCUGCUUUGUAUUUACACGUUUCUUGUGUUGUACAGUUUGGCAAAUUCCUCCUGGCCUGUAGGUCCAUUUGCUCUCAUUGAAGAAAGUUUUACGGUAUGAUUCAAUCCCAAGUUGUUUUUUGUGCCUGAAUCGAUGUGAUAUUUUUUAAGGGAUUAAAUAGUGUAAGAAAUUUAAUUAAUUGAAAUUUAAGCUUUUGUUAUUAGUGUGCUUUAGGAACUAGUGUUUACACUGUUUUGUGUAUUCACGCACAAAGUGUAAAUAUGUUUACCACGCAGAUCGAAAAUGGGUUGAUGACGCCAACAAUGAAAGUGCGGCGAGAAGUGGUCUACGAGCGCUACAAGGAUGAAAUAGACGGACUCUUCAAUGCUAACAAAGAUAUAUAACCUUCUCAUUUUUAUCCUCUUUAGUAGCUGGAAUCUGCUCUAUUUGAUGACAUCUGUGGUGUAACUCACGAAAUCAUGCUCUGU
rnacentral:lncRNA from 1 species